AUCAUGAGUUCACAUGUCCGCAUGAUUAAAGGUAUUUUCCGGUAGACGAUGGGGAUGCGUUCCAUUAGAUAGUAGGCGGGGUAACGGCCCACCUAGUCAACGAUGGAUAGGGGUUCUGAGAGGAAGGUCCCCCACAUUGGAACUGAGACACGGUCCAAACUCCUACGGGAGGCAGCAGUGAGGAAUAUUGGUCAAUGGGCGAUGGCCUGAACCAGCCAAGUAGCGUGAAGGAUGACUGCCCUAUGGGUUGUAAACUUCUUUUAUAAAGGAAUAAAGUCGGGUAUGCAUACCCGUUUGCACGUACUUUAUGAAUAAGGAUCGGCUAACUCCGUGCCAGCAGCCGCGGUAAUACGGAGGAUCCGAGCGUUAUCCGGAUUUAUUGGGUUUAAAGGGAGCGUAGAUGGAUGUUUAAGUCAGUUGUGAAAGUUUGCGGCUCAACCGUAAAAUUGCAGUUGAUACUGGAUGUCUUGAGUGCAGUUGAGGCAGGCGGAAUUCGUGGUGUGGCGGUGAAAUGCUUAGAUAUCACGAAGAACUCCGAUUG
rnacentral:rRNA from 1 species